rnacentral:lncRNA from 10 species
CUGCAUUCCUCACCUAGGAGAUGUGACUCUCCUACCUGCACCCUUCCUACACGGAAAGUUGUGGCAUAUUGCUGUGGCCAGCAACCAGAUGAUGUGUUUCUGCUUCCUGGGUCUUUAUUACAGGAAAGAUGGUUGACAUAUCACAGGGCCCAGCAUCCAGGAUCUGUGGGACAGACCCAGCAGGUGGUGCCCCAUGUAAGAAGCAAUGAAAUGCAUCAUGAUGGAACCCUCAAAAACGAAAGUGAAGUUACUGCACACCCCUUAGGUCCUCUUUGGAUUCCAGCAUGAUGCAUCAAACCUUACCACGGCAUGACUAGGGCCCAACCUGCUACCAGAAAUAAAGGAAAUGACGAUGCAGAACCCACAACCCUGGAUGAUGUGGCUUCCUUGGAUGACACAGGCCCCAGACAUUACCUGGGGAAUGCUGAAGAACACAACUCAGGAGGCUGAACAAAUCUGCUUCAGACACAGAUACCAUUCAAUCCAUAUAAUUUGUUCUUUGCUAUGCUUUUUAUUCCACAUUGCAACUCUUAUAGAAUACUGAUUCUUCUUAUUCUCUCUUUUUGCCUGCAACCCACACCUGCUAUAAACUAUUGGGCCCAUCUUCUAGAUCUGCCUUUCUUACGGCAUUUUACUUGGGAAGGUACCCCCUUCUCAGCCUCUGACAACGUGACCAAUUGGCUGGGAGGUAUUGACUUACCCCCGGUGGGGUCCCUCAGUAAUGGCACACAUUGGACUCAGGUGCCAAGUAACAUUACAUAUCAAUCCUUGAUUGGAAAAGAAUAAUAUUGAUUAUACUCAUGUUUGUCUUAUGUUAUUUACUGGUUCUAGGGUGCAAAGCUGGAACACAAACUGUAACCAUUGCACCAGUCAAACCUGUCGCUGCUCAGAUCUGUAUGCUUCAAUCAACAAAACCUGAUGCAAAAAAACAGAAAAAGGGGAGAUGUGGGAGAUUGGUCAGAGUGGUGGAAAAAGGAUAGGGAAAGAACGCAAAUUUUCUGAAAUGUUGGAAGGUCCUGCAGAGCUCCAGGGGAGAAUAGCUGAAGGCAGCUGUUCUAUAACCCUGAGGCAGAGAGCAAGCAGUAGGUACAAGGGAGUGUGGAAGAAUUUAUCUUAAACAGGCUUAUUUACUUAUGUUGAUCAGGAACUGACCUUUGAUCAUUUGCGUGUGUGACAUUCCCUGAAAGGGGAACAAUAAAUGUUAAUUAC